GAUGAACGCUGGCGGCGUGCCUAAUACAUGCAAGUCGAGCGAACGGACGCGAAGCUUGCUUCUCUGAUGUUAGCGGCGGACGGGUGAGUAACACGUGGAUAACCUACCUAUAAGACUGGGAUAACUUCGGGAAACCGUAGCUAAUACCGGAUAAUAUUUUGAACCGCAUGGUUCAAAAGUGAAAGACGGUCUUGCUGUCACUUAUAGAUGGAUCCGCGCUGCAUUAGCUAGUUGGUAAGGUAACGGCUUACCAAGGCAACGAUGCAUAGCCGACCUGAGAGGGUGAUCGGCCACACUGGAACUGAGACACGGUCCAGACUCCUACGGUAGGCAGCAGUAGGGAAUCGUCCGCAGUGGGCGAAAGCCUGACGGAGCAACGCCGCGUGAGUGAUGAAGGUCUUCGGAGCGUAAAACUCUGUUAUUAGGGAAGAACAUAUGUGUAAGUAACUGUGCACAUCUUGACGGUACCUAAUCAGAAAGCCACGGCUAACUACGUG
rnacentral:rRNA from 1 species